rnacentral:rRNA from 1 species
GUGAGGAAUAUUGGUCAAUGGGCGAGAGCCUGAACCAGCCAAAUCGCGUGAAGGAUGAAGGUAUUAUGUAUUGUAAACUUCUUUUAUCGGGGAAUAAAGUGCGGGACGUGUCCCGUUUUGUAUGUACCCGAAGAAUAAGGAUCGGCUAACUCCGUGCCAGCAGCCGCGGUAAUACGGAGGAUCCAAGCGUUAUCCGGAUUUAUUGGGUUUAAAGGGUGCGUAGGCGGACUGUCAAUUCAGCGGUGAAAGUCCAUGGCUCAACCAUGGAAUUGCCGUUGAAACUGUCGGUCUUGAGUGUAGAUGAGGUAGGCGGAAUUCGUAGUGUAGCGGUGAAAUGCUUAGAUAUUACGAAGAACUCCAAUUGCGUAGGCAGCUUACCAGGCUACAACUGACGCUGAGGCACGAAGGUGCGGGGAUCAAACAGGAUUAGAAACCCUGGUAGUCC